rnacentral:rRNA from 1 species
GCAUAACGCGAAGAACCUUACCUGGCCUUGACAUGUCCGGAAUUCUGCAGAGAUGCGGAAGUGCCUUCGGGAAUCGGAACACAGGUGCUGCAUGGCUGUCGUCAGCUCGUGUCGUGAGAUGUUGGGUUAAGUCCCGCAACGAGCGCAACCCUUGUCCUUAGUUGCCAGCGAGUAAUGUCGGGAACUCUAAGGAGACUGCCGGUGACAAACCGGAGGAAGGUGGGGAUGACGUCAAGUCCUCAUGGCCCUUACGGCCAGGGCUACACACGUACUACAAUGGUCGGUACAGAGGGUUGCCAAACCGCAAGGUGGAGCCAAUCCCAGAAAGCCGAUCCCAGUCCGGAUCGGAGUCUGCAACUCGACUCCGUGAAGUCGGAAUCGCUAGUAAUCGCGGAUCAGCCAUGCUACGGUGAAUACGUUCCCGGGUCUUGUACACACCG